GACGAACGCUGGCGGCGUGCUUAACACAUGCAAGUCGAACGGAAAGGCCCUGCUUUUGUGGGGUGCUCGAGUGGCGAACGGGUGAGUAACACGUGAGUAACCUGCCCUUGACUUUGGGAUAACUUCAGGAAACUGGGGCCAAUACCGGAUAGGAGCUCCUGCUGCAUGGUGGGGGUUGGAAAGUUUCGGCGGUAGGGGAUGGACUCGCGGCUUAUCAGCUUGUUGGUGGGGUAUUGGCUUACCACGGCUUUGACGGGUAGCCGGCCUGAGAGGGGGACCGGCCACAUUGGGACUGAGAUACGGCCCAGACUCCUACGGGAGGCAGCAGUGGGGAAUAUUGCACAAUGGGCGGAAGCCUGAUGCAGCAGCGCCGCGUGCGUGAUGACGGCCUUCGGGUUGUAAACCGCUUUCGCCUGUGACGAAGCGUGAGUGACGGUAAUGGGUAAAGAAGCACCGGCUAACUACGUG
rnacentral:rRNA from 1 species